GUGAUGAGGUCAAUCUGACAAUGACACUGGUUUCCCCAUUGAUCCUAGGGUUUAUCAGACUAUCUGGCUGCAUAGGCAAGUGUCUCUUUUCUCCCUCUCUGCUACACACGCACACUUAACAGAAAAGGACAACCUUCCCAGAGAGAAUGUCCUGUUCUUUUUUUUCCCCAAGGGUAAAGGCAACAUCUUUAAUCCAAAAAGAUUUAUCAUGUUAACUGAUGAAAAAAUGAAAUUUUUUUACCUGAUUA
rnacentral:sRNA from 1 species